AGACAUAAUGCACCCCACCUCAAAAACACGCAGCCCGCAAUGACAGUAGAUAUGGUUGCCUUCUCUUGGAGGUGCGGCGCAGGAGGGUGGUGGGGGGGCGACAACGCCACCUUUUCCCCAACACAACCUAAUGGCUGGGGCUCAAUAAAAACAACGGCGGUGGCAACAACAACCCAAAUUAGCCGUGACAGCGUGCGGGGUACCCGAGCGCCUUUCUAAUUGAUCAUUCUCGGUUGGAGACUUCCCGGCCCUUGCUGCCACAGCUGCACCGCGGCUAUUCUUAGCGCAGGUGUGCUGUAGUCGUUGGAGUUCUUAUUUUGAGCUUUGGCUGUAAACACAUUCCAGAAACAUUUAUUCAGAGAAGGAGAGGGCUCUUUAUCUAGUUCAAUAUCACAAAGGUGUAGCAGGAGGGGACUUUUUUCUUGGGUUUUCUGCAAUGCAGCUGCCAUUUUCCAGCUAACGCCGCCAAGGCUGAAAUGAGCCCCUAGCCGGCUGACCUAUUGUGAGAAUUAAUUAACAGCCGCAGCAGAUUCGAGCACAGUUAUUUGGGACUUUCUGUACGUAGGUGUGAUAUGUGGGUCAGCGGGGAGUGACGCGGCGCGGGGCGCCAUGUCAUCUCAAGCUAUCAGCGAGCGACAGCCUCUCAAUAAGCGUGCUGAUCCCGGGCCAAGCCUGCUGACCGGCACAGUUAACAUUCCCAUCCCUUUGCAGACGACUAAUCCGGGAAUUCAACAAUGCGCCUGGCCUUCCAAAACCAGGGAUCAAAUUCUCUGUUGGCUCCGCAUUAGCACACGCAGACCCCGGCCCAAUGCCCACCCACAAAGCAGACUUGCAGAAAUCCACACACGUUCACACCCCCGGUUCAUUUUCCAGCUUGAGCCGCAUGCAGCACGGAGCGACAGAGGGAUGUUAACUAGCGCUGUGAAUUCAUCCCCUGUGUUUCCCCAUUCUUGUUUUCUUCUCUUAAUCUUUCAUGUGUGUUUCAAGCUAACCUUCAAUGUACAUUUAACCCAACUAACAUGACUGGCCGGGCUUUUAACUUGCAUUAUGCUCCGUGACAUUGACAAGAAAAAAAAAAAGAGGUGAGGAGAGCGUGCGGUGUUUGCACCCAGGCGAUGGGAUCAAAUCCGGGGAGAAAUCCAUUUCCUUGAGAAGCCAUGCCGCAGGGACGGGAAAACUGGACGCAUCCUGACAUGCAAUUAGUCCACGCUGCACUUUGGGAGCAUUGCAAUUAGUCAGACUGCCACAAGGUCAGAUAGAAGAGAUACACUACGCUGGUGUCGGAACCUCUCAGCUGUGUGCGGUAAUUACUGGUGUCCUUGAUAUGUGAUGUGAAAUGGGGAUGGUAACCUUUAGUGUUUGCCUGUUAGCUCCCCUCCUCCCCUCUAUGCCACCUUCCUCCUCUCAGCUCCUGGGAGUGCGGAGGGACAACGGAAGGCUCACUUUGGAGGUAGAUGUGAAGUGUGCUUGAGUGCCAGCUGGUGCCUUGGGACAUGGUUGAACAUCCACCGGCCAAAUGGUCAUUGCUGUGAAGCAGGACGACACUUUUGAAGGGUCCUGCUGUCCAGGGGAGGAUGACCGGAGGACUCAAGGAUGCACGCUUUGGCCCUAUUUUUGGACAUGGACCUCUGUUUAAAAAGAAGAGAAUUAAGUUCUACAGACACGUUUUAGAUAUUCGUCCUUGGGUAAUAAUUUGUCUGACCACCCAAUACCAUCAGGGCUUAGAGUGUAUUUUGCUUUUUCUGGUUUGUGUGAGAUCUUAACUGUGAAAAUUCCAAGGAGGAAUUUAAAAUACAACAGUUUUAAGAAACUAAAGUCAUAAUGUUUAGAGUUGCAUGAGUCAGAUGUUUGAAUUGCUUACAUGAAUUAAUACAAAAUAAAUAAAAAAUGUCAAUGAUUCAACCCCUGCAAACAUAUGUGAGGGACCAAGUUGGCAAGCAUGAGCAUCCAGCCAGAGAUUUGGCGAAAACAGGGAUUCACCCAAUGAACUUAUCUUAAACACACAAGUCAGGUUAGGAUUCUCAAACAAUGUCAACACCAACUGAAAUGAACAAACCACAUUUCAAAAUCGCAGAUUAUACAAUUUCUGUCAAAAAGGGGUCAGAUGGAGAAAAACACUGACCACUGGAUUACCAUUUUAACAAUAUAACAGUUCAUUUGUCAGUUUGGGUAUUCCAUAAAAAAACAAAAAGUGUAUUAUAUUAACUAAUAUAUUUAAAGGAAAUUAAAAAUAAUCUCAAAAUUUAAACAUUUCACCCCAUGAUGUUGUGAGCACUUGGUACGUUCUGAUUAGCCACUUCCUGUAUUUAAUAGUUUAGUCCAUGUUGUGCAUCUUUGCUUUCUCUUGACAAAAGCAGCACUUCUCUAAAUAAGUAGAAAUGAUAACUACAAAUGGAUGUCUGAAGGAGUGUCAGCACUCAGCUAUUUGCCAUUUUCAACUAAAUGAAUCCUGUCAUUCUGAAGUUCCUGAAAAGGAUCUUGUCCC
ensembl:lncRNA